rnacentral:rRNA from 1 species
UACGAAGGGGGCUAGCGUUGUUCGGAUUUACUGGGCGUAAAGCGCACGUAGGCGGAUCUUUAAGUCAGAGGUGAAAUCCCAAGGCUCAACCUUGGAACUGCCUUUGAUACUGGGGAUCUUGAGUCCGGGAGAGGUGAGUGGAACUGCGAGUGUAGAGGUGAAAUUCGUAGAUAUUCGGAAGAACACCAGUGGCGAAGGCGGCUCACUGGACCGUUGUUGACGCUGAGGUGCGAAAGCUAGGGGAGCAAACAGG